rnacentral:rRNA from 1 species
GGGCGUAAAGGGCUCGUAGGUGGUUGAUCGCGUCGGAAGUGUAAUCUUGGGGCUUAACCCUGAGCGUGCUUUCGAUACGGGUUGACUUGAGGAAGGUAGGGGAGAAUGGAAUUCCUGGUGGAGCGGUGGAAUGCGCAGAUAUCAGGAGGAACACCAGUGGCGAAGGCGGUUCUCUGGGCCUUUCCUGACGCUGAGGAGCGAAAGCGUGGGGAGCGAACAGGCUUAGAUACCCUGGUAGUCCACGCUGUAAACGGUGGGUACUAGGUGUGGGGUCCAUUCCACGGGUUCCGUGCCGUAGCUAACGCUUUAAGUACCCCGCCUGGGGAGUACGGCCGCAAGGCUAAAACUCAAAGGAAUUGACGGGGCCCCGCACAAGCGGCGGAGCAUGCGGAUUAAUUCGAUGCAACGUGUAGAACCUUACCUGGGUUUGACAUGGAUCGGGAGUGCUCAGAGAUGGGUGUGCCUCUUUUGGGGUCGGUUCACAGGUGGUGCAUGGCUGUCGUCAGCUCGUGUCGUGAGAUGUUGGGUUAAGUCCCGCAACGAGCGCAACCCUUGUUCACUGUUGCCAGCACGUUAUGGUGGGGACUCAGUGGAGACCGCCGGGGUCAACUCGGAGGAAGGU